UGUCGUGAGAUGUUGGGUUAAGUCCCGCAACGAGCGCAACCCCCGUCCUUAGUUGCUACCAUUUAGUUGAGCACUCUAAGGAGACUGCCGGUGAUAAGCCGCGAGGAAGGUGGGGAUGACGUCAAGUCCUCAUGGCCCUUACGGGCUGGGCUACACACGUGCUACAAUGGCGGUGACAAUGGGAUGCUAAGGGGCGACCCUUCGCAAAUCUCAAAAAGCC
rnacentral:rRNA from 1 species